rnacentral:rRNA from 1 species
GACGAACGCUGGCGGCGUGCUUAACACAUGCAAGUCGAACGAUGAAGCCCAGCUUGCUGGGUGGAUUAGUGGCGAACGGGUGAGUAACACGUGAGCAACGUGCCCGAAACUCUGGAAUAACUACCGGAAACGGUGGCUAAUACUGGAUAUGUGCCAGGGAGGCAUCUCCUCUGGUUGGAAAGAUUUUUCGGUUUCGGAUCGGCUCACGGCCUAUCAGCUUGUUGGUGGGGUAAUGGCCUACCAAGGCGACGACGGGUAGCCGGCCUGAGAGGGUGACCGGCCACACUGGGACUGAGACACGGCCCAGACUCCUACGGGAGGCAGCAGUGGGGAAGAUUGCACAAUGGGCGCAAGCCUGAUGCAGCAACGCCGCGUGAGGGAUGACGGCCUUCGGGUUGUAAACCUCUUUUAGUAGGGAAGAAGCGCAAGUGACGGUACCUGCAGAAAAAGCACCGGCUAACUACGUGC